rnacentral:tRNA from 1 species
GGAAGGUUAGCCUAAUCGGUAAGGCACCGGUCUUGAAAACCGGCGGCUUCGGCCUUGUGGGUUCGAGUCCCACACCUUCCGCCA